rnacentral:lncRNA from 1 species
GGGGGUCAGAAGUAUAUCUAUCUAUGCCAAAUAACAUUGCAAGCUCCUUGAGGACCAUAUUCACAACUUUCGAGAAGUCAGCCUACCAUAGUUGUCGGUGAAUAUGAAGAUAUAGAAAAUUCCUCAUUUUAUGCCCAAAUCUAAAAUGCUUAAAUCCAUGCAUAACUUUAACAAAUCAAGCUGUCAAGAUGAUAAGUUAUGACUUGCAACCCUUAAACCUUAAACUUCGAUAUAACUCAUAACACCUGUAGACAUGAGAGCAGAACAAAGAGAUACAUGCAAGAGAAUCAGCAAAAUCUGGCUGAUUAGAAGUAAUGACUCUUCCAAUAAAAAGUUAAAAGCUAAAUGAGCAAUUGAGAGUAAGGUACAGAGAGUCAAAAAAACAUGUAUGCUGCAAGAAGUAUAUGCCAAGUAUUCCACAUUGAGCAACAAUCUGCCUAUCAGAAUGACAAACUUUUUGCAAAAAGCAAAGCAACAGAUCAUGUCAAAAGGGAUUAAAUUUUCAAAACUGUCAUAACAUGACUAAGGCCCUGUUUGGGGGAGCUGUUGGCAGUAGAGCUGUUGGAAGUAGAGCUGUUGGAAGUAGAGCUGUCUGA